GAUGAACGCUGGCGGCGUGCCUAACACAUGCAAGUCGAACGAAGUAGCGAGAAGGAAGUUUUCGGAUGGAAUUCUGGUUACUGAGUGGCGGACGGGUGAGUAACGCGUGGAUAACCUGCCUCAUACAGGGGGAUAACAGUUAGAAAUGACUGCUAAUACCGCAUAAGCGCACAGUACCGCAUGGUACAGUGUGAAAAACUCCGGUGGUAUGAGAUGGAUCCGCGUCUGAUUAGCCAGUUGGCGGGGUAACGGCCCACCAAAGCGACGAUCAGUAGCCGACCUGAGAGGGUGACCGGCCACAUUGGGACUGAGACACGGCCCAAACUCCUACGGGAGGCAGCAGUGGGGAAUAUUGCACAAUGGGCGAAAGCCUGAUGCAGCGACGCCGCGUGAGUGAAGAAGUAUUUCGGUAUGUAAAGCUCUAUCAGCAGGGAAGAAAAUGACGGUACCUGACUAAGAAGCCCCGGCUAACUACGUGCCAGCCGCCGCGGUAA
rnacentral:rRNA from 1 species